AUUGAACGCUGGCGGCAGGCCUAACACAUGCAAGUCGAACGAGUGGCGGACGGGUGAGUAAUGUCUGGGAAACUGCCUGAUGGAGGGGUAUAACUACUGGAAACGGUAGCUAAUACCGCAUACCAUCGGAUGUGCCCAUAUGGGAUUAGCUAGUAGGUGGGGUAACGGCUCACCUAGGCGACGAUCCCUAGCUGGUCCGGGAGGAUGACCAGCAACACUGGAACUGAGAGACGGUCCAGACUCCUACGGGAGGCAGCAGGGGGGAAUAUUGGACAAUGGGCGAAAGCCUGAUGCAGCCAAGCCGCGUGUAUGAAGAAGGCCUUCGGGUUGUAAAGUACUUUCGGCGGAGAGGCGUUACCCGCAGAAGAAGCACCGGCUAACUACGUGCCAGCAGCCGCGGUAAUAC
rnacentral:rRNA from 1 species